CCGGUGGCGGAUGGGCAUGCGGCGCAUUAGCUAGACGGCGGGGUGACGGCCCACCGUGGCGACGAUGCGUAGGGGUUCUGAGAGGAAGGCCCCCCACACUGGGACUGAGACACGGCCCAGACUCCUACGGGAGGCAGCAGUGAGGAAUAUUGGUCAAUGGGCGGAAGCCUGAACCAGCCAAGUCGCGUGAGGGAUUAAGGCCCUGCGGGUCGUAAACCUCUUUUGCCGGGGAGCAGUGGUCCGGACGCGUCCGGGCCGGGAGAGUACCCGGAGAAAAAGCAUCGGCUAACUCCGUGCCAGCAGCCGCGGUAAUACGGAGGAUGCGAGCGUUAUCCGGAUUUAUUGGGUUUAAAGGGUGCGUAGGCGGGCAUUUAAGCCGGCGGUCAAAUGUCGGGGCUCAACCCCGGCCUGCCGUCGGAACUGGGUGCCUUGAGUGGGCGAGAAGUAUGCGGAAUGCGUGGUGUAGCGGUGAAAUGCAUAGAUAUCACGCAGAACCCCGAUUGCGAAGGCAGCAUACCGGCGCCCUACUGACGCUGAGGCACGAAAGUGCGGGUAUCGAACAGGAUUAGAUACCCUGGUAGUCCGCACAGUAAACGAUGGAUGCUA
rnacentral:rRNA from 1 species